UACGUAGGGUGCAAGCGUUGCCCGGAUUUACUGGGCGUAAAGAGCGCGCAGGCGGUCGUUCAAGUCGCGUGUGAAAGCCCCCGGCUCAACUGGGGAGGGUCACGCGAUACUGAUCGACUCGAAGGCAGGAGAGGGAAGUGGAAUUCCCGGUGUAGUGGUGAAAUGCGCAGAUAUCAGGAGGAACACCAAUGGCGAAGGCAGCUCGCUGGGACGGUACUGACGCUGAGACGCGAAAGCGUGGGGAGCAAACAGG
rnacentral:rRNA from 1 species